GGCAAGGGGAGAGACAAAGACCUGGUAACUGGGAAAUGGUUUUCUCAGCUGUGCUUGAGGUUUACAGAAUGGGUGGAAUAUUUUGAGGCUGCUUUCUCUGUGAAUGCAGGGUGGUGGUGGUGGUGGACUCUUGGGACCAUGUGCACCACCAUCAUGUUUCUCUCUACUCUGGCUUUUGUACUGCGCCAGCAUUUCUUCAGCCGAAGUAAGACCUUUCCAAAAGGCUCGCGGGAGAAGGAGUCACCAUCGGUGGAGAGCAAAGACACUGACAAGUGACACUCACUUAAUGGACAUCCAACUCAGAGCUGGGUUUUAGAUGUGGAAGCUGUGCUCAGGUCCAUGGAAAGACAGCUGAAUUCUCUUUUGGAGAAAUGUCCUCAGUCGAAAUGUGGAAACAGCCCAGUGGGUCCUCUAUCUCCUUUAAGCCACAGCAGGUCUCGCUCCAGUCAACAAGCUGAUCCGUAAAGUCAACUUUAGAUGCUUUUCAACUUUCUGAGCAAAACAAAUCCCAUAUUUUUGCCCCAAACAGUCACUUGGAGUAGACAGACUUUGAGCACUUCUUGUUGCCGGUUUUCCUUUAUUCCAGCAACAAAGAGCCCACAGAAGUGUACGCUCUGUGCCACGAGCACCAAACCUGCUGUGAUUGGCAGCUUUGUUGGAGGGUUUUUUUUUUGGCUUGCUAAAAUCCCUGUGCAACAAUCUCACCUCUUAAGUAGUUGUUUGACAUUACAGGGAGGAAAGCAAUUUCACACCCGGUUGUAUCAUUACUCAACUGUUCCAUAAGCGAUGAAAACCUGACGGUCUCUGGAAUGACUGAAAAACUUUCUGUCAUUACCGAGCUGCCAGACCAGAAAUAAACAAGUGUUUUCUGUGAUGUACACGCACAGCCUGCUGCAUCUUUAUUUGAAGGGAAAUCCACACCCACACUCCCAGCAGCACAAAAAAAUUAAAGCUCCCUGGCUUAUUCGUUUCUAUAAUUGAGCCUUUUGCUCUGCACAUGGAUUCACAAGCAUGUCGAAUUACGAAUAAAUCAUAUAGCGUGACAAUGGGCCCCCUAUGCACAGGAUCUUGGCAAUUAAUACUGUUUUUCAUCUUUUUAUGGGCUGCAUCAUUUCCCUUGCCGACAAAUGAGAUCUUAUUUCCUGCCUGAUUACAUAAGUGAUUGGAUCCUUAUUGAUAUUAAGGUUGUGCGCUGCCCCAGAGAUACCAGUGUGCGUUUAAUGAUACGUUCCAGUGGGAGCGACAGACCGCUAAGUUAUUUUCGAAAAGGGACCAAAACCGCCUCUGUGGCGGGAAUAUGGCUGACUGUUAUGCAUCUACUCUAUUAAGAACUCCAUUAUUGUGAAUAUCCCUGUUUGUCACUCUGACAACUGUGUACAACAAAUCCCUCCGGCUGAAGUACUCCACUGGCAGAAGCCCGGGGAACUAAUGAGCCUAAUAUGUCCCCAGGAACGUCGCCUCUGCCAAGUGUGCACUCUAAAUCCUCCUGUGUAAUCAAGGCGGUGCAGGACAUGGAUAUCUGCAGAUAGUGGCAGUAGUACUUCCAUAUCUCACUGUUGUCUCCUGCCCUGAUGAGUCUGUCUGACUCAAAUUACUAGGUGAAAGCGGGGUUUUUGUGCUGCCGGUAACGUGGAGUAGCUUGGGUAAUGACUAUGGUCUUCCUGAACACUCUGGUAGACCAUGGGAGAUAAUCUAAUGAAGGGGAGAGAGCCAUGGUUCAUAAUUGCCUGAGAGAGAAGCUGGAAGAAAGGUACACAUGGAGACUCAAACCUGUUUUUCCUGCGCGCUCCAAACUCAGAUGCUGCUGCAAAAGCAGGAGAGGAAUCAAGAGAUGCUGAUGAUAGUCGUGCAUGUUAAGGACACAGAGCAUUUAAGCAAUCAGACCUGUUCAGAGUCGUUCUGCACUGAUACUGUUUUAAGUGUUAAUGUUUUAGCUGAUUUUGAAAUGGGAUGUUACAGCCUGCUGCUGCAGACUCUUGGAGUUUGAGGUGAGGACCCAAACGCAGACAAAACGAGGUGUGGAAACAAACUUAAAUUUGUGAACCUUUUUAGGUUUUACACUAAGACACAAAAUAACGAAAAAAACAGAAUGUAACCCAAACCUGUAACAUAAACUGGGAAAACUACUAAGAACCUAAGAAACCAUGAAUCCUGGACACACAAGGAGAGGUGCGCAGACAACCUGAUGAUGAACACAGGGAAACUCACCCAAUAAAUGCACAUGAGGGUGAUGAGGGAAGUGGAAACACACGAGGAACGCAGCUGGGAUGAAUAGGCCUAAUGACACAAGAGGAAGCAAAACUGAACACGAGAUAAGAGACCAUCAAAAUAAAACAGGAAUCGCGCAGACUAAGACACACAGACUUGACACUGGGACCGGGAAAGAACAGGAGAACAUGGAAACGGAGGGAGAUGAAGGGCUGGGGAGACAUGACAUGAAACAUGGGAACAGAAAAGCGAGCGGAGACACGGAGGGAGACACAGACAUAACGAACAUAUACAUACACAUCAACAAGAAAACAUGGAUCAUAAUUCUAAUUAAACUUACAACCUAACCAGGUCUAAACUCUAUGCAAACUGUAAACACUAGAAGUUAAACAUUUCCCCAAAAUAGCAAAAAGGGAUCAAAAAUACAAAAUGCACUCAAAAUGCUGAGUCAACGGCCCAGCACGCUGACAUCGGAGAGGUUAUAAAGACUGAUGGUUGUGUUUCGUAUUCACGUCGGUUGUCCUGUUUCACUAAUUUGUGCCUCCUCCUGUGUGUGACCUGGAAAUCAAUCUCAGUACACCAUGUUGUUAGACGUGUCUCAGCUCCUAAAAAUACAUCUGCAGGUCGGAGCGGAGCGGCGGCUUCGCUAGAAGAACGAUAACGGAGGAUACACACGUGUAUCCUUUUACAGAAGGAUUUUCUGUCGAUUACUGUUUCUAUGUAUUUUUAAUUUAAUUAAAAUUGUCCAUAAAUAUAAAAAAGACAUUAAAGGGUUGACUUAAUGAUGUGUUUCGGAUAAUUGUCCUGGCACAUAACCUGACUGAGCUUGAACUUCAGGGCAUGAGCUGAUGGAGAGACGUCCUCCUUCAGGUCUUUCUGGUAGAGAGAAUUGAUGUUUCCAUCAGUUACAGUAAGUCGUCCUGAAGCAGCAAAGCAACCCCAGACCAUCACAUUACCACCACCAUGUUUGACUGUUGGUCUUUGUUGUUGUUGUUUUUUAAAUGAAAUGCUGUGUUAAUUUAUAACACGUGUAACAACACUCAAAACAUCCAAAAAAGUUCAUCCUUUGUCUCAUCAGUCCACUGAAUAUUUUCUGAAAAGUCUUGAGGAUCAUCAAGAUUGUCGAGAUGUUCUUAUCUUUCUCUCUUGCCAAAUGUGAGACGAGUCUUGGUGUUCUUUUUGGUCAGCAGUGGUUUUCUCCUUGGAUCUCCCAUGGAUGCUGUUUUUGCCCAGUCUCAUGAACUCUGACCUUAACCAAGACAAGGAACAGAGUUCCUUAGACGUUGUUCUGGGUUCUGACCUCCUGGAUCAGUCGUUGAUCUCCUGUGAACAUUCACCACUGUUCCAAGUUGUUUCCAUUUGUGGAUAAUGGCUCUCACUUUGGUUCACUGGAGUCCCAAAGCCUUAAAAAUGUCUUUGUAACCCUUUUCAGAAUGAUAGACGAUAGAUGUUUCUGUGGAUCAUGACAUGCUCUGUUUAUUUUUGAGAUAUUUUAGCCUGCUUCACUUUGUCAGACAGAUUUUUAUUUUGUGAUUCAACAGGCCUGGCAGUAAGCCGGCCUAGGAAUGGCCAGUGAAAGUGAACUCAGCCACAAAGAAAUGUGGUUAAUCGCAGUUAUAAUAUUAAUUAACUUUUUCCACAAAGGAUAAACUUUGUCUUAAAAAAAAAUCCAAUCAGCAUUUAAAAACUGCAUUUUACAUUUAGUAUGGUUAUUCUUAUCUAAUAUAAAAGUUUUUGGAAGAUGUUAUACGUGCAAGUGUGAAACAUUUUCCACAGUUGUAACUUUAAAGCAAGGUGAGGAGGAUCAUUUUGUUAAAUACCCCUUUUCCUCACCACCUCUGCUCUGGGACUGCAAUGUGAGGAGAGGAGUCAUGGAUGUGCAGUGGAAAUGAGAAGGGGAGUGUGUCUAUGGCUAACGUGUGGAGUGCAGCGGUUGAGAUGCAUUGUCCAUAAUAUCGAGUAGUUUCUUAAACAUCCUCCUAUUCACCACAAGGUCAGACAUCACAAAGAUGGACUUUCACAUCGAUUCAUCUGCUGCACAAAGAAGUUUAGUCUUAGACAUGUUAGGCAGGACAAGUUUAGACACUUUUUUUCAAAUAACAAGAACACGGCUGAGUGACAGUAUCUAAACACCCAGCUCUAUUUACCGUGGUCGAAAAUGUUUGUAUUUGGGAAGAAUUCAACGGUUAUGAUGACGUUUUACUGGGAAACAAAUGCAGUGACAGAAAGCAGUAGCUGUGCAAACCCACAGCAGGGCCUGGAUGCUCCGGCUUCUUAACGUGACUUGUUAAUUUUUCAUGCGGGUGCUUACCUCCGGCAAACAUGGCUGACGAUGACCUCACUGCUCUUCAUUUUCAAUGGGUUCUCUAAAAACUGCAUCUCAUUGCUUCCUUAAUAAUAAAAAAACCCUCAAAUUA